rnacentral:rRNA from 1 species
CCUACGGGUGGCAGCAGUGGGGAAUAUUGGGCAAUGGGCGCAAGCCUGACCCAGCAACGCCGCGUGAAGGAAGAAGGCUUUCGGGUUGUAAACUUCUUUUGUCAGGGACGAAGCAAGUGACGGUACCUGACGAAUAAGACACGGCUAACUACGUGCCAGCAGCAGCGGUAAUACGUAGGUAGAAAGCGUUAUACGGAUUUACUGGGUGUAAAGGGCGUGUAGGAGGGGAAGCAAGUCAGCGGUGGAAGCCACGGGCUCAACCUGUGGCCUGCAUUUGAACCUGUUGUUCUUGAGUGCUGGAGAGGCAAUCGGAAUGCCGUGUGUAGCGGUGAGAUGCGUAGAUAUACGGAGGAACACCAGUGGCGAAGGCGGAUUGCUGGACAGUAACUGACGCUGAGGCGCGAAAGCGUGGGGAGCAAACAGGAUUAGAUACCCGAGUAGUC